GGAGAGGUGGCCGAGAGGUUGAAAGCGUCGGAUUGCUAAUCCGUUGUACAAUGCUUUGUACCGAGGGUUCGAAUCCCUCUCUCUCCU
rnacentral:tRNA from 1 species